GUUGUUUCUGCGUAGUUAGUACAGAUAGAAACAGAGGAGGUGUUGUUUCUGCGUAGUUAGUACAGAUAGAAACAGAGGGGGUGUUGUUUCUGCGUAGUUAGAACAGACUGAAACAGAGGGUGUGUUGUUUCUGCGUAGUUGGUACAGACAGAAACAGAGAUUGUGACGCAGUCAUCUACUGAGCUGUACUUCUAUGACAGAAUGGCUCAUGACUGUCCCUGUGUUAUUCUCUCCCUUUCUCACUGGCUCUCAGAGAACAGAGAAGGAGAGAGGGAGAAGUUGUUUACCUUGCUUUCUUGGGGACUGCACUGGCAGCUCUCCAGUUCAUAUGCACUAGACUUCCUAAAGCUGCUGCAUCACAGGCCUGAGUGCCAGAGCUGGCCUCCCGUUGGGUGGGAGGACCUCCCCAGACUCUGCUGGCAGCACAAUGCUAUUGGACGAGCAGAAGGGAGCAGGUGGUGGACAGCUUCUGACUGGUGGAUAAGUAGCGUUAUCGUGCAGUACGUUUAAGUGUGUAUGUGUUCUAUAGGGGUACUAAUAAAAUGUGUACAGUAACAGCACAUGGUUUUGUUUUACAUUGUUCCUUAUCUACAGUAAUGUAAGCUGUAUAUGCUGUAUAGUACAAUGGAUUAUAUUGUUGUUAGUCCUUGGCUGAAAGGAGCAGAAACAUGAGCACUGUAGGUAAACACGAGUGUGUAUCUGUUUACUAAGCUCCAGUAAUGUCUUGUGUAAUGUGUUCUCAUAGUCUGAUUGGUUUGCGUGUACUACGUCAUGUUGACAGUGAUCAGCCCCUGUCUUUUUCCUGGUAUGCUGGAGGCCAAACACAGUCCACUUCCUGUUCUGUCUGGACGCUGUACCAAUCGCUUCUCCUUCCAUUCCCAGAGGGAAGUCUAUACUUACUUAGUGUUUGAUUUGGUUGCUCUACUACGGUUGUGGGCCGUGAGAUGGGGAACAACCGAGGGUUCUCUGAACUGGCAUUCUGUGAUGUCACAAACCUGCCACAUUGCCACUUUCUAAAGUGACGCAAGAACGACUGUGUUUGUCAAGGGUCUGCAUUGCAUCCACGACUGCUGCAG
ensembl:lncRNA